AUGCGAAUACAGCUGCCCCUACCCCCAUUUCACCUUAUGCCUCUCUUCAAUGCAUUUUCACACAGAGAGUUGCUCAGAUUACAGGUAACAGAGUUAGUCCUUGAUAAUUGCCUUGAUAAUUGUGUCAAUGGGGAAAUUGAAGGCCUGAAUGACACUUUUAAAGAACUAGAGUUUCUGAGUAUGGCUAAUGUGAAAUUAAGUUCACUGGCCCAGCUCCCUAGCUUGAAUAAACUUUGAAAGUUGGAACUUGGUGACAAUAUAAUUUCUGGAGGUUUGGAAGUCCCGGCAGAGAAAUGUCCAAAUCUUACCUACCUCAAUCUGAGCGGAAACAAAAUCAAAGACCUCAGUACUGUGGAAGCUCUGCAAAAUCUUAAAAAUUUGAAAAGUCUUGACUUGUUUAACUGUGAGAUCACAAACCUGGAAGAUUACAGAGAAAGUAUUUUUGAGCUGUUGCAGCAAAUCACAUACUUAGAUGGAUUUGGUCAGGAGGAUAACGAAGCACCAGACUCGGAAGAAGAUGAGGAGGAUGAAGAUGAAGAUGAAACUGGUCUACUUGAAGGAUAUGAAGAGGAGGAGGAGGAAGAAGAAGAGAGAAGAAGAAGAAGAAGAAGAAGAAGAAGAAGAAGAAGAAGAAGAAGAAGAAGAAGAAGAAGAAGAAGAAGAAGAAGUAGUGGUGGAGGAAAAGGAGGAGGAG